GGCGAACGCUGGCGGCGUGCUUAACACAUGCAAGUCGAACGGUGAAGGGGCCUGCUUUUGUGGGCCCUGGAUGAGUGGCGAACGGGUGAGUAACACGUGAGUAACCUGCCCCCUUCUUCUGGAUAACCGCAUGAAAGUGUGGCUAAUACGGGAUAUUCUGGGUCUGUCGCAUGAUGGGUCUGGGAAAGAUUGCGCCUUUGGGUGUUUUUGGUGGGGGAUGGGCUCGCGGCCUAUCAGCUUGUUGGUGGGGUGAUGGCCUACCAAGGCGGUGACGGGUAGCCGGCCUGAGAGGGGGGACGGUCACACUGGGACUGAGACACGGCCCAGACUCCUACGGGAGGCAGCAGUGGGGAAUAUUGCACAAUGGGCGCAAGCCUGAUGCAGCGACGCCGCGUGAGGGAUGGAGGCCUUCGGGUUGUAAACCUCUUUCGCCAGUGAAGCAGGCCUGCUCCUUGUGGGUGGGUUGACGGUAGCUGGAUAAGAAGCGCCGGCUAACUACGUG
rnacentral:rRNA from 1 species